CUCACAAGUGAUGAACAACAAAGGGACUUAAUACCGAAACCUGAUGUUACAUUUAAAAAAAAAAAAAAAAGAUUGC